rnacentral:lncRNA from 1 species
AUGGAAGAGAAAAAUGCAACAUUGCUGACAGAGUUUGUUCUCACAUUAUUUUUAUAUCAACCUCACUGGAAAAUACCCCUGUUCCUGGCAUUCUUGGUAAUAUAUCUCAUCACCAUCUUUGGGAAUCUUGGUCUGAUUGCUGUCGUAUGGAAAGACCCUCACCUUCAUAUCCCAAUAUACUUAUUCCUUGAGAAUUUAGCUUUUGUGGAUGAUUUGUUAUCAUCCACAUGACUCUGAAGAUGCUGAUCAACUUCUUCACUAAGAGUAAGUUGAUUUCUCUCUGAAUGCUGGAUACAUUUUUUUUCCUUUGCAAUUGGUGUAACCACAGAAUGUUUUAUCUUGGCAACAAUGGCAUAUGAUCGCUAUGUAGCCAUAUGCAAACCUUUACUUUAUCCAGUCAUUAUGACCAAUGGACUGUGCAUCUGGCUAUUAAUCUUGUCAUUUCUAGGUGGCCUUCUUCAUGCUUUAAUUCAUGAAGGUUUUUUAUAGAUUAACCUUCUGUAAUUCCAACACAAUACAUCACUUUUAAUGUGACAUUAUCCCAUUGUUAAAAAUUUUCUGUACUGAUUCUUCUAUUAACUUUCCAAUGGUUUUUAUUUUCUCAUGUUCAAUUCAAGUUUUCACCAUUGGGACUGUUCUUGUAUCUUAUACAUUUGUCCUCUCUACAAUCUUGAAAAAGAAGUCUGUCAAAGGCAUAAGAAAAGACUUCUCCACCUGUGGAGCUCAUAUCUUACCUGUAUCUUUAUACUAUGGGCCCCUCGCCUUCAUGUAUGUGGGCUCUGCAUCCCAACGGGCUGAUGACCAAGAUAUGAUGGAGUCUCUAUUUUACACUGUCAUAGUUCCUUUAUUAAAUCCCAUGAUCUACAGCCUGAGAAAUAAGCAAGUAAUAGAUUCAUUCACAAAAAUGUUCAAAGGAAAUAAUGUUUAG